rnacentral:lncRNA from 1 species
CACACAUUUAUUUUGGGUAGUGACAUUUUAAAAAAAAAAGCCUAACAUGCCACAACUAGAAGGACCUGCAACUAAGAUAUACAACUAUGUACCGGGGGGAAUUUGGGGAGAUAAAGCAGAAAAAAAAUAAAUAAUAAAUAAAAUAAAAUAUACAAUAAAACAAAAAAAAGCCUCUAGAGUCUCUUAAGUUUGGAGACUGUGGAAGAGAUGGUUAGCGGGUCCCCGUGUCUAUUUUGCCUCCCUUCUAUGACAAGAGAAACCCCAAUUUUCACUGAGCACAUGAUGGUCCAAAGAAAAGACUACAUUUCUUAGCAACCCCCCAGUUGAGUGUGGUCCUAUACCUAAUUUAUCACCAAUGAUGGGGGUCCAUGCCCUCCAUCCAGAGACCACAGGAAUAAGCCAGUAGUUGAAUGAGCUGGGUUUGUUGCUUGUUGCCACAAGGAAGAAUGCACACCGUGGGGAGCCCUGGGUGUUUCAGUAAGAGGGUGUUAGAAAGACUUUGCUAUAGGAUUUGGCUCAUGAUAGGCGAUUUUAGGGAGGGUUGAAGGAAGCAGUGCUUUACUCUGGAUUGGAUGUUGUCAGGAAGCAGGGGCAAGUCUAUGACGGAGUAUCUUAAAAUAAUAUCAGGAGGAAUGAAACACAGUUACAGCCGUAACUGAUAACAAAGCAGUAGUCACUCACAUCAGGCAGAAUACGGACAUGUCUGGUCAUUUUGCAGUUUGGACCACGUUCCUAUCUUUGUGUUCAGGCAUAAUUAUGGAGCAGCCUUGUUUUCAUGGCCUUGCCUGAUGCUGGUGUUGUUUGAAAUCGCACGUGCUUAACAGAAGAACGCCAAGGCCUGGCUGCGAGUGCCAGGGCAGCUCUCGCAUGUCCGGGGCUGCCCUUCUCUUCCUCAUGGACGAACUGGAAUGUGGUUGUGAUGGCUCGAGCAGUUCAGCUGGCACAUGAGGUGAUCUUGGGAAUAGAAACUACAACAGCCCUGGACCGCCUCAGCUCCAGACCUUCACGUGAGAGAGAAACAAAAGACUACCUUGUUUAAGCCAUUGUUAUUUGGGGUCUUUUACUCCUAGCCAAAGUUAUUCCUAACUGAUACAGGGAGCUAAUGGUCAGUCCACUUUUUAAUGUGUUUGUUUAAGGUUGUUCUCAAUUUCUUAAAUUGGAUAGAUCGACAUGUCAGAGAAUUGAUUUAGGCGCCAG